CAAAACCUAGUUCGAUCAACAAACCUACGCCUGUUAGGUCAGCUGCUUCCGUAGAUAACGCCUAUUUUACCAGAUGCUACCGAAAUAAAGCAAGAGGAUGUACCUCGAAUCCAACCUCAACCAUCACCACCAAUAGACAUGCUCAAUUUAAACCAGCCCCAACCCCAGCUGCCGGUGCAAGAUCCACAAGCCACAACGAGUGUCGCUAGUUUCGAUUUGCUUGGAGCAUUCGGGGAUGAUAAUUCAUCUGGCAUUGGCUCGGCUCCAAUACCUGAUAUUUUAGAAAUUAAUGUACAACCAAGUUCAAAUGUCAACCUUGAUGAUAUCUUCGGCUCAGUUGCUUCAUCGGCGCCGAAAAUCAACCUGGAGUUUAAUAGUUUUUCUGUAAACCAGCCGACACCAA